rnacentral:rRNA from 1 species
CGAGAAAGCCCGCAAGGGUGAGUAAAGCGGCGCACGGGUGCGUAACACGUGGGUAUUCUGCCCUAGAGUCUGGAAUAACUCGCCGAAAGGCGUGCUAAUGCCGGAUGAGACCACGGGAGCCUCGGCUCCUGCGGGAAAAGGUGGCCUCUGUAUACAAGCUAUCGCUCUAGGAUGAGCCCGCGGCCCAUCAGCUAGUUGGCGGGGUAAUGGCCCACCAAGGCUACGACGGGUAGCUGGUCUGAGAGGACGAUCAGCCACACUGGAACUGAGACACGGUCCAGACUCCUACGGGAGGCAGCAGUGGGGAAUCUUGCGCAAUGGGCGAAAGCCUGACGCAGCAACGCCGCGUGUGUGAUGAAGGUCUUCGGAUCGUAAAGCACUGUCGCGAGGGACG